GUGCUUGCUUCAGCAGCACAUAGACUAAAAUUGGAACGAUGCAGAGAUUAUUAGCAUGGCCUGUGUACAAGGAUGCCAUGCAAAUUCAUGAACCUAUUUAGGAAUUC